UACGUAGGGGGCAAGCGUUGUCCGGAAUUAUUGGGCGUAAAGCGCGCGCAGGCGGUUUAUUAAGUUCGGUGUUUAAGCCCAGGGCUCAACCCUGGUUCGCACUGGAAACUGGUAGACUAGAGUGUAGGAGAGGAAAGUGGAAUUCCACGUGUAGCGGUGAAAUGCGUAGAGAUGUGGAGGAACACCAGUGGCGAAGGCGACUUUCUGGCCUAAUAACUGACGCUGAGGCGCGAAAGCGUGGGGAGCAAACAGGA
rnacentral:rRNA from 1 species